rnacentral:rRNA from 1 species
UACGUAGGUGACCAGCGUUGUCCGGAUUUACUGGGCGUAAAGAGCGCGCAGGCGGUCGUUCAAGUCGAGUGUGAAAAGCCCCCCGGCUCAACUGGGGGAGGGUCACUCGAUACUGAUCGACUUGAAGGCAGGAGAGGGAAGCGGAAUUCCUGGUGUAGCGGUGAAAUGCGCAGAUAUCAGGAGGAACACCGGUGGCGAAGGCGGGUCUCUGGGCCGUAACUGACGCUGAGGAGCGAAAGCAUGGGGAGCGAACAGG